rnacentral:rRNA from 1 species
GACGAACGCUGGCGGCGUGCUUAACACAUGCAAGUCGAACGGAGUGGCGAACGGGUGAGUAACACGUGGGUGAUAUGCCUUGCACUUCGGGAUAAGCUUGGGAAACUGGGUCUAAUACCGGAUAGUGCAAGAUGAGCUCGCGGCCAAUCAGCUUGUUGGGGGGGUAAUGGCCUACCAAGGCGUCGACGGGUAGCCGGGCUGAGAGGGUGUACGGCCACAUUAGGACUGAGAUACGGCCCAGAGUCCUACGGGAGGCAGCAGGGGGGAAUAUUGUACAACGGGCGGAAGCCUGAUGCAGAGACGCCGGGUGGGGGAUGAAGUCCUUCGGGUGGUAAACUCCUUUCGACAGGGACGCGGUACCUGUAGAAGAAGCACCGGCUAACUACGUGCCAGCAGCCGCGGUAAUAC